rnacentral:rRNA from 1 species
AUGGAAAUUGCUUAUUGCACCACAUGUGUUUUUCUUUGAAACAAACUUGCUUUGGCGGUGGGCCCAGCCUGCCGCCAGAGGUCUAAACUUACAACCAAUUUUUUAUCAACUUGUCACACCAGAUUAUUACUAAUAGUCAAAACUUUCAACAACGGAUCUCUUGGUUCUCGCAUCGAUGAAGAACGCAGCGAAAUGCGAUACGUAAUAUGAAUUGCAGAUAUUCGUGAAUCAUCGAAUCUUUGAACGCACAUUGCGCCCUCUGGUAUUCCGGAGGGCAUGCCUGUUUGAGCGUCGUUUCUCCCUCAAACCGCUGGGUUUGGUGUUGAGCAAUACGACUUGGGUUUGCUUGAAAGACGGUAGUGGUAAGGCGGGAUCGCUUUGACAAUGGCUUAGGUCUAACCAAAAACAUUGCUUGCGGCGGCAACGUCUACCACGUAUAUCUUCAAACUUUGACCUCAAAUCAGGUAGGACUACCCGCUGAACUUAAGCAUAUCAAUAGCCGGAGGAA